AAAGUUUUAUUAUAAUUUAAGUAUAUUUUAUUGUCGUUAAAAAGGUGGAAGCUUUA
rnacentral:tRNA from 1 species